CUCAGUCUCUCCUUCUCUGUGUGUCUCUAUCUGUGUCUCUCAGUCUCUCCCUCUCUGUGUGUCUCUCCUUGUGUCUCUGUCUCUACCUCUCUGUGUGUCUCUCUCUGUGUCUCUCAGUCUCUCUGUGUUAAUGUUUGAUAUAAUUAAUUAUACAGCUAGUCCCUAGCACUUUGCCACUCAGCCUUCUAUCAGUAACCAGUCUCCAGACAACCAACAAGCACAGAGGAGUCUUGGACCCAUUUAAAUGGACCCAUGUGUCCCAGCAGAGCUUUGCCCAUACCCCUCUGUCACAGUGCUAGCCUUGUGUGCCAGUGGGCUUUGAUGUCGGUGCCAGCAGUACUUUAAGGAUCUGUCUCACUAUAAG